rnacentral:rRNA from 1 species
UACGUAGGGUGCAAGCGUUAAUCGGAAUUACUGGGCGUAAAGCGUGCGCAGGCGGUUAUGUAAGACAGGUGUGAAAUCCCCGGGCUUAACCUGGGAACUGCAUUUGUGACUGCAUAGCUAGAGUACGGUAGAGGGGGAUGGAAUUCCGCGUGUAGCAGUGAAAUGCGUAGAUAUGCGGAGGAACACCGAUGGCGAAGGCAAUCCCCUGGACCUGUACUGACGCUCAUGCACGAAAGGCGUGGGGAGCAAACGA